UAACGAAUAUUCCGCAAUGGGCGCAAGCCUGACGGAGCGACGCCUCGUGGAGGACGAAUUCCCUCGGGAUGUAAACUCCUUUUAGGGUUAGGCAAGCGAAGCCGGUUAAUACCCGGUUAGUUGAGCCAUCCCAGAAAAAGCCUCGGCUAACUCCGUGCCAGCAGCCGCGGUAAUACGGAGGAGGCAAGCGUUGUUCGGAAUCACUGGGCUUAAAGCGCGUGUAGGCGGCCGGUCAAGUACCUUGUGAAAGCCCCGGGCUUAACCUGGGAAUUGCUUGGUAUACUGAUUGGCUUGAGUCGGACAGGGGUGCCUGGAACACUAGGUGGAGCGGUGAAAUGCGUAGAUAUCUAGUGGAACGCCUGAGGCGAAAGCGGGGCACUGGGUCCGCACUGACGCUGAGACGCGAAAGCGUAGGGAGCGAACGGGAUUAGAUACCCCCGUAGUCC
rnacentral:rRNA from 1 species